GCCUGGUUGGCUCAGUCAGUAGAGCAUGUGACCCUUGGUCUCAGGGUUGUGAGUUCAAGCCCCACCCUGGGCG
rnacentral:tRNA from 1 species